UGAGCCCGCAGAGCAAGCACUUGGGCAGAGACACAAUCGACCAACCAAGGUUUAGAUGAUGUGAUAAAGGCCGAAAUCAAAGUUAUUUAGCAGUUGAGUCUGCGACGAAGGUUGACCCACGAGGGCUACACGUGGAAUCAAAACGCACGGUGGAGGAGGACGAGGGAGACGAUUUACUAUUAAAGUAUGUGGAUGAGUUCUGGUGGUUCCCCCACAUGUGGAGCCACAUGCAGCCUCACCUCUUCCACAACGAGUCAUCGCUGCUGGAGCAGAUGGUCCUCAACAAGGAGUUCGCUCUGGGCCUUCUGUAACAGAGACUCGUCUCCUUGGCGACAGCACUGGUCCUGCAGGGGCGGUAUCAUGACAUCAACAUUAUCGCCGCGGUUAUGAGCGUGGACACACACAAACACGUGCGUAAACACACACACACACGCAAGUGAAACAGAGGCAGCACUGGUGGCUUUUUUUGUGCAGAUGAAAUAUUUAGUUGACAGCGAGCAGAGGCUGGAUCAGAGCAACACAGAGGAUGUUUUUACUGUAGAUGGAGAAGAUUAAAUUAUACUUGUGCGAGGAAAGAGGGAUGUAUGUUUGAAAGAGCAACAACGACAAGGUGGUUAAUGGAUUAGUUGAUUUAGGGAAACAUAAUGCCUUCUAUUUUGACAAUCAACUAAUCAGUGAAGUCAUUUUACAAUCAAAAUGGCAGAAUUGGGUAUU